rnacentral:misc_RNA from 1 species
GAUGAAGAACGCAGCGAAAUGCGAUAAGUAAUGUGAAUUGCAGAAUUCAGUGAAUCAUCGAAUCUUUGAACGCACCUUGCACCCUUUGGCAUUCUGAAGGGUAUGCUCGUUUGAGUGUCAUUGUACUCUCACACUCCCGAUCUUUGCAUUGGGAGCAGUGGACUUGGGUUUGCUGCUUCACCGUCGCUUACCUCAAAUAGGUUAGUGCAACUCUUGGUUGGACAUAGUACGGCGUGAUAAGUGUUCUUCGCCGGUGCCUCGCAAAGAGGGUGGCCGAUCGGGAUGUUGUGCUCCAAACCGUCUUCGGACAAUCUCUGACGACUUGACCUCAAAUCGAGUAAGACUACCCGCUGAACUUAAGCAUAUCAAAAGCGGAGGA